rnacentral:rRNA from 1 species
GACGAACGCUGGCGGCGUGCCUAAUACAUGCAAGUUGAGCGAUGAAGCUUGGUGCUUGCACCAAUUUGAAGAGCAGCGAACGGGUGAGUAACGCGUGGGGAAUCUGCCUUUGAGCGGGGGACAACAUUUGGAAACGAAUGCUAAUACCGCAUAACAACUUUAAACAUAAGUUUUAAGUUUGAAAGAUGCAAUUGCAUCACUCAAAGAUGAUCCCGCGUUGUAUUAGCUAGUUGGUGAGGUAAAGGCUCACCAAGGCGAUGAUACAUAGCCGACCUGAGAGGGUGAUCGGCCACAUUGGGACUGGGACACGGCCCAAACUCCUACGGGAGGCAGCAGUAGGGAAUCUUCGGCAAUGGACGAAAGUCUGACCGAGCAACGCCGCGUGAGUGAAGAAGGUUGUCGGAUCGUAAAACUCUGUUGGUAGAGAAGAACGUUGGUGAGAGUGGAAAGCUCAUCAAGUGACGGUAACUACCCAGAAAGGGACGGCUAACUACGUG